rnacentral:tRNA from 1 species
CGAGGCCUUCGUCAACCGGUCCAUGUCCUCGAGGUUGCUGACCUCGAAGGACUGCACCAGGACCGGUGAGUCGUGCCGGUCGUACCCGUAGCGCUUGA